AUGGCCCAACAGUUAGAGCACUUGACUGCUAUUCCAGAGGACCUGGGUUCAGUUCCCAGU
rnacentral:tRNA from 1 species